rnacentral:rRNA from 1 species
GGGGGAUAGCCCGGGGAAACCCGGGUUAAUACCGCAUAAAACAGGGGCACCGCAUGGUGAUAUUUGUUAUAGAUUUAUUGGUGAUAGAUGGGCAUGCGUUCGAUUAGCUAGUUGGCGGGGUAACGGCCCACCAAGGCGACGAUCGAUAGGGGAGCUGAGAGGUUGAUCCCCCACACGGGCACUGAGAUACGGGCCCGACUCCUACGGGAGGCAGCAGUAGGGAAUAUUGGGCAAUGGAUGCAAGUCUGACCCAGCCAUGCCGCGUGCCGGAUGAAGGCCCUCAGGGUUGUAAACGGCUUUUAUUCGGGAAGAAGAGCAGGGAUGCGUCCUUGUGUGACGGUACCGAAUGAAUAAGCACCGGCUAACUCCGUGCCAGCAGCCGCGGUAAUACGGAGGGUGCGAGCGUUGUCCGGAUUUAUUGGGUUUAAAGGGUGCGUAGGUGGCCUUAUAAGUCAGUGGUGAAUACGGUUGCUCAACAAUCGAGGUGCCAUUGAUACUGUGAGGCUUGAAAUAAUUGGAGGCUGCCGGAAUGGAUGGUGUAGCGGUGAAAUGCAUAGAUAUCAUCCAGAACACCGAUUGCGAAGGCAGGUGGCUACGAUUGGUUUGACACUGAGGCACGAAAGCAUGGGAACAAAAGAUAGAACCUGGAUCCUGUUAACAAAGAACAUAAAAGAGAAACACUCUUUUUUUUACGGAACGUUGACCAUUUGGGAAAACGAAACUUCCCCUGGGCGGGGCGCGCCGGGAACGGGAACUCAAGGAUUGACGGGGGUCCGCCCAACCGGGUGACAGGGGUUAAUUCAUGAUACCGAGGACCUACUGGGCUAAUCA